rnacentral:ncRNA from 1 species
CAAACUAACGAAUGGAUUUCCAAUGAUUUGUCAAUAAUCCAUUUAUAUAAAAGGGCACAUUCAUCAUUAGACACAUAGAAGUUGGAUAAACCCAACAACCUUCCAUCCAAAGUCAACAAAUUUGAAACCCAUUUUUGAGAGUUGUUGGUGCCUCAUCCUAUAACUGAUGGCAACGUUAGGAAAUUCGAAGACGUCGUCGGGGGCCCUAGGAAGAGUUAUCUUUUCUUUUUAACAGCUUGCCCACCCUGAAAUCGUCUCAACUGAAGAUAGGGUCCAGCAGAUGGAAGAGCAUCACACGUCUUGCAGUGUCCGGUGCACCCUCGGCGACCCUUGAAAUCUGGAGGACCGAGUAUCGUCCAUGUCCAGUCGUACUCAUAACCACAUCAAGUCUCCAAGGUGAACAACCUCUG